UACGUAGGCAGCGAGCGUUGUUCGGAAUUACUGGGCGUAAAGAGUGUGUAGGCGGUGCUCUAAGUUUGGCGUGAAAUCUCCCGGCUCAACUGGGAGGGUGCGUCGAAUACUGGGGUGCUCGAGUAUGGGAGAGGUAAGCGGAAUUCCUGGUGUAGCGGUGAAAUGCGUAGAUAUCAGGAGGAACACCUGUGGUGUAGACAGCUUACUGGACCAUGACUGACGCUGAGACACGAAAGCGUGGGUAGCAAACAGG
rnacentral:rRNA from 1 species